rnacentral:lncRNA from 1 species
ACUAUAAAUACAAAAAUGCGGAGCAUUAUAUACACGACUUCAUGCUUGUAAGGUUAGAUUCAUCACUGCAAAAAGAUAAGAAAAACAAAAAACAGAGUAGUGAGAUUAGUGCCACACCGGAAGUUCCGCUUCAAAUUUACGUUUGUUAAAAAUCUGGUAGAACUUUGACUCCAGCUUUUUGCUACUCUAACCUACAGGAUGCUGUGGAGAUUGGAAUCCCCGAACGACACUCUCUGCAAAUGGGAUACGGGUGACUUCCCAUUGAGCCCAUGAGUCCGCUCAGCCUGAUGAUAAUCCAGUUGAUUUGCUCCAUGGAGACAAAGCAGACCUGCCCACUCAGGCCCGAAAAUGCCUGCGGGGUGGCCUAAUGGAAGCUAAUCAACCAGAGAACUGCUGGACAGAACAUAAAUUUGAAAGGGGUCUGCUGUCGAGACCAAAACGAUACAAGAGAGGAGAGGAGCAAGCGAGGAACAAAUAGUAACUUUGGAUGGAGAAGUAGGAGUGAGGGGAGACAGCGCCUGGAAAAGAUCUGCUUCUUUUGGAUGGCUUUUGGAACAUCUCAGAGGAGAACUUCUUCAGUGCAUUUCCCCAGCAGAUACAGGGUUAUUGAAAUGGGACAUUAAAGUGAACUGGAGAUGCAGCCGUAUAUUAUCAGUUAAUUUCUUAUUGACCUCACGCCAGAGGAUCACAAUGGUAAGUGAAUUCCCAGCUCAAUCUGUUGGGAAAAAAAAGCAAAAAACCUUUCUGCUUUGAAAAAAAAUUGCAACAGGAAAAAGCAAGUUGGAUCAGAUGAACUAUAAAAUGAAAAAUGAAGGGAAUAGGAGCAGCAGGGAAUUAGUAGGACACUAGAUAGGAGUCUAGGAAGUGGCCAUGAAGACUGAUUGACAAGGAAGAAGGAUCAGUGGGAUGGAGGAAUUACUGGAAGAAGGCAAGGUGUGGGGGGAAAGGAAGCAAGGAAUACACCUCUGGAAAGGAUAUAUGUAGAUGUGUCUAGAUGAAGGUCAACUUCAAUCAGUGUAGUCAGUCACCCAGUUUCAUACAACACAGAAAGAUGGAAUCAGUUUACAUUCCGGACAGGGUGCUGAUGUUUAAAAACAAACAAAUCAAGUGCAAGAGUACUAAACUAUUCACAUAGACAACCCAAAAGAAGACCUAAUAAUCAGUUAGACAUUCAAAUGAAACCAUAGUAGUGCGUUCAUGCUGACAUUGGUGGUUAAAUCUCCUUAUCAUGUCUCUCCUGUGUGCCAAAAAGAAACGUAACGAAGUGCUCAGAAUUCAAAUCUAUUUAAAUUAUUUUAAGGCAGGGAAAGUUCCUGUGUGGGCUGGGUUAUGACUAGGGAGUGGAAUCCAUAGAACAGAGUUUAGUAAAACCAGAUGUGGCCCUCUGAUGAGUGAAAGGGAGUAAACUGAGAGUAAAAUGCUCACAUGCAAGCAAUGAAUU